rnacentral:tRNA from 1 species
GCAGUCGUGGCCGAGUGGUUAAGGCGAUGGACUAGACAUCCCAUUGGGGUCUCCCCGCACAGGUUCGAAUCCUGUCGACUGCG